UACGUAGGGUGCAAGCGUUGUCCGGAAUUAUUGGGCGUAAAGAGCUCGUAGGCGGUUUGUCGCGUCUGCUGUGAAAACUCUGGGCUUAACCCAGAGCCUGCAUUCAAAACUGACGGGCUAGAGUUCUGGAGGGGGUAGCGGAAUUCCUGGUGUAGCGGUGAAAUGCGUAGAUAUCAGGAGGAACACCGGUGGCGAAGGCGGUUCUCUGGGCAUGUCCUGACGCUGAGGAGCGAAAGUGUGGGGAGCGAACAGG
rnacentral:rRNA from 1 species